GUGCUCAGCAGCUGUUUGAGUUAACAGAUGACAAAGAAAAUGAAAGAUAUCCUUUAAGUCUAUACCUUUUUAAAAUUUCUGCUUCCAAAACAGAUUACUUAAGUAGUAGAGUCAGCUUGGGGACUUAAUUUAUAUAUUUAAGAUAUAAAAUUAGACCAUUGAAAGUUAAAUACAAAAUUAGCCAGGCGUGGUGGCACACAUGGCUGUAAUCCCAGCUCCUUGGGAGGCUGAGGCAGGAGAAUCGCUUGAAUCUGGGAGGCCGAGGUUGCUGUGAGCGGAGAUGGCGCCAUUGCACUCCAGUCUGGGCAACAGGAGCGAAACUCCGUCUCAAAAAAAAAAAAAAAAAAAGUUAGGUAAAAGUUGGUAGUAGUAUAACCUCAAACAUACACAAACAGUAGGUUUUUUAACUUCUGUGUGGCAUUUCUUAGAUUAAAUUCUGGAUGAUGACCUCAGGGGUACAGUACCAAACCAAGGUUGAUGGUACCACUUAAAAUGGACUCUAUCACAGUGCACAUAAGGAGCACCAACGGACCUAUCGAUGUCUAUUUGUGUGAAGUGGAGCAGGGUCAGACCAGUAACAAAAGGUCUGAAGGUGUCGGGACCUCUUCAUCUGAGAGCACUCAUCCAGAAGGCCCUGAGGAAGAAGAAAAUCCUCAGCAAAGUGAAGAAUUGCUUGAAGUAAGCAACUGAUGGCAUUUGAGAAUUUAUGUAUCACUGAGUUUUUUGGGAAUAUCUUCGUGGAGAAUUACGCAUCAAAUUUGAUUCUCAGAGCAAUAAAUUAUCCAUGAAGUGCUCUCGUUCUCAGUAGCGGCAUCAUGGCCAGUAGUGUCUUUGAGGAGUUCACCACUUAGAUUACUGAGUAAUUGUGGUUUCCACAUUUGAAAACAACUCCUUUUAUAAUUAUUCACUGCUUUUUGUCAGUGAAAUAGACAUCUUGCCUCCUGAAGUAGCUUCAUCACAGAGUGUCAUG
rnacentral:lncRNA from 1 species